rnacentral:rRNA from 1 species
UGGGGAAUAUUGCACAAUGGGGGAAACCCUGAUGCAGCGACGCCGCGUGGAGGAAGAAGGUCUUCGGAUUGUAAACUCCUGUUGUUGAGGAAGAUAAUGACGGUACUCAACAAGGAAGUGACGGCUAACUACGUGCCAGCAGCCGCGGUAAAACGUAGGUCACAAGCGUUGUCCGGAAUUACUGGGUGUAAAGGGAGCGCAGGCGGGCGAUCAAGUUGGAAGUGAAAUCCAUGGGCUCAACCCAUGAACUGCUUUCAAAACUGGUCGUCUUGAGUAGUGCAGAGGUAGGCGGAAUUCCCGGUGUAGCGGUGGAAUGCGUAGAUAUCGGGAGGAACACCAGUGGCGAAGGCGACCUACUGGGCACCAACUGACGCUGAGGCUCGAAAGCAUGGGUAGCAAACAGGAUUAGAUACCCUGGUAGUCCGUGCCGUAAACGAUGAUUACUAGGUGUUGGAGGAUUGACCCCUUCAGUGCCGCAGUUAACACAAUAAGUAAUCCACCUGGGGAGUACGACCGCAAGGUUGAAACUCAAAGGAAUUGACGGGGGCCCGCACAAGCAGUGGAGUAUGUGGUUUAAUUCGAAGCAACGCGAAGAACCUUACCAGGUCUUGACAUCCGAUGCAUAGCUUAGAGAUAAGUGAAGUCCUUCGGGACAUCGAGACAGGUGGUGCAUGGUUGUCGUCAGCUCGUGUCGUGAGAUGUUGGGUUAAGUCCCGCAACGAGCGCAACCCUUAUUGCCAGUUACUACGCAAGAGGACUCUGGCGAGACUGCCGUUGACAAAACGGAGGAAGGUGGGGAUGACGUCAAAUCAUCAUGCCCUUUAUGACCUGGGCUACACACGUACUACAAUGGCGUUUAACAAAGAGAAGCAAGACCGCGAGGUGGAGCAAAACUCAAAAACAACGUCUCAGUUCAGAUUGCAGGCUGCAACUCGCCUGCAUGAAGUCGGAAUUGCUAGUAAUCGCGGAUCAGCAUGCCGCGGUGAAUACGUUCCC